AGGGCUUAGUCGUAGGUGACCUGCGGAGGUCAUUAUUG
rnacentral:rRNA from 1 species